rnacentral:rRNA from 1 species
GUUUGCAACCUACCUCUAACUGGAGAAUAGCCCGAAGAAAUUCGGAUUAAUACUCCAUAAUACUAUGAUCUGGCAUCUUUUUAUAGUUAAAGCUCCGGCGGUUAGAGAUGGGCAUGCGUAACAUUAGCUUGUUGGUGAGGUAACGGCUCACCAAGGCUACGAUGUUUAGGGGGUCUGAGAGGAUGGUCCCCCACACUGGUACUGAGACACGGACCAGACUCCUACGGGAGGCAGCAGUGAGGAAUAUUGGUCAAUGGGCGCAAGCCUGAACCAGCCAUGCCGCGUGAAGGAUGACGGCGCUAUGCGUUGUAAACUUCUUUUGUACGGGAAGAAACACUUCUACGUGUAGAGGUUUGACGGUACCGUACGAAUAAGCAUCGGCUAACUCCGUGACAGCAGCCGCGGUAAUACGGAGGAUGCAAGCGUUAUCCGGAUUUAUUGGGUUUAAAGGGUACGCAGGCGGAAGAUUAAGUCAGUGGUGAAAUCCUGCAGCUUAACUGUAGAAUUGUCAUUGAUACUGGUUUUCUUGAAUGUGGUUGAGGUAGGCGGAAUGUGUAAUGUAGCGGUGAAAUGCUUAGAUAUUACACAGAACACCGAUUGCGAAGGCAGCUUACUAAGCCAUGAUUGACGCUGAGGUACGAAAGCGUGGGGAGCAAACAGGAUUAGAUACCCUGGUAGUCCACGCUGUAAACGAUGAUUACUCGUUGUUGGCAAUACAUCGUCAGCGACUGAGCGAAAGCAUUAAGUAAUCCACCUGGGGAGUACGCUCGCAAGAGUUAAACUCAAAGGAAUUGACGGGGGCCCGCACAAGCGGAGGAACAUGUGGUUUAAUUCGUUGAUACGCGAGGAACCUUACCUGGGCUUAAAUGCAAAACGACGGACCGGGAAUCUGGUCUUUCUUCGGACGGCUUGCAAGGUGCUGCAUGGCAGUCGUCAGCUCGUGCCGUGAGGUGUCGGGUUAAGUCCCAUAACGAGCGCAACCCUCAUCAUUAGUUGCCAGCGGGUAAUGCCGGGGACUCUAAUGAAACUGCCGGUGUAAACCGAGAGGAAGGUGGGGAUGACGUCAAGUCAGCACGGCCCUUAUGUCCAG